ACAAAAAUGAGAAGUUUGCUUCAAGAAAAAAUAUUUUUUCUUGAAGCAAACUUCUCAUUUUUGU
rnacentral:pre_miRNA from 1 species